UACGAAGGGGGCGAGCGUUGUUCGGAUUUACUGGGCGUAAAGGGCGCGCAGGCGGUCUUGAAAGUCAGGCGUGAAAGCCCCGGGCUUAACCUGGGAAUUGCGCUUGAUACUCUGAGACUGGAGUACGGGAGAGGAGAGUGGAAUUCCCAGUGUAGAGGUGAAAUUCGUAGAUAUUGGGAAGAACACCAGUGGCGAAGGCGGCUCUCUGGACCGUAACUGACGCUGAGGCGCGAAAGCGUGGGGAGCAAACAGG
rnacentral:rRNA from 1 species